rnacentral:rRNA from 1 species
UACGGAGGGUGCAAGCGUUAUCCGGAUUCACUGGGUUUAAAGGGUGCGUAGGUGGGUCUGUAAGUCAGUGGUGAAAUCUCCGUGCUUAACAUGGAAACUGCCAUUGAUACUAUAGGUCUUGAAUUUUCUGGAGGUAAGCGGAAUAUGUCAUGUAGCGGUGAAAUUCUUAGAUAUGACAUAGAACACCAAUGGCGAAGGCAGCUUACUACGGGAACAUUGACACUGAGGCACGAAAGCGUGGGGAUCAAACAGG